GGCUGGUCCGAUGGUAGUGGGUUAUUAGAACUUAUUAACAUCAGUAUCACUAAAGUUGGUAUUCAACCCCCCACUGCUAAAUUUGACUGGCUUUAA
rnacentral:Y_RNA from 1 species